GAUGAACGCUGGCGGCGUGCCUAAUACAUGCAAGUCGAGCGAACAGAUAAGGAGCUUGCUCCUUUGACGUUAGCGGCGGACGGGUGAGUAACACGUGGAUAACCUACCUAUAAGACUGGGAUAACUUCGGGAAACCGGAGCUAAUACCGGAUAAGAUUUUGAACCGCAUGGUUCAAUAGUGAAAGACGGCCUUGCUGUCACUUAUAGAUGGAUCCGCGCCGUAUUAGCUAGUUGGUAAGGUAACGGCUUACCAAGGCAACGAUACGUAGCCGACCUGAGAGGGUGAUCGGUCACACUGGAACUGAGACACGGUCCAGACUCCUACGGGAGGCAGCAGUAGGGAAUCUUCCGCAAUGGGCGAAAGCCUGACGGAGCAACGCCGCGUGAGUGAUGAAGGUCUUCGGAUCGUAAAACUCUGUUAUCAGGGAAGAACAAACGUGUAAGUAACUGUGCACGUCUUGACGGUACUUGAUCAGAAAGCCACGGCUAACUACGUG
rnacentral:rRNA from 1 species